GGAUGCGAUCAUACCAGCACUAAAGCACCGGAUCCCAUCAGAACUCCGAAGUUAAGCGUGCUUGGGCGAGAGUAGUACUAGGAUGGGUGACCUCUUGGGAAGUCCUCGUGUUGCAUUCCC
rnacentral:rRNA from 3 species